rnacentral:rRNA from 1 species
CAGCCGCCGCGGGAAUACGAAGGGUGCAAGCGUUAAUCGGAUUUACUGGGCGUAAAGCGUGCGUAGGCGGCUUCUUAAGUCGGAUGUGAAAUCCCUGAGCUUAACUUAGGAAUUGCAUUCGAUACUGGGAAGCUAGAGUAUGGGAGAGGAUGGUAGAAUUCCAGGUGUAGCGGUGAAAUGCGUAGAGAUCUGGAGGAAUACCGAUGGCGAAGGCAGCCAUCUGGCCUAAUACUGACGCUGAGGUACGAAAGCAUGGGGAGCAAACAGGAUUAGAUACCCGUGUAGUCCCUGUCUCUUAUAA